AACUGGAUAGCCUAGUGGUCAAAGGCAGCACUUCUAGCAAUGAUGAGAUCCCAGGUUUGAGUCCUGGUCUAGUCA
rnacentral:tRNA from 1 species